rnacentral:tRNA from 1 species
AUAAAAAUAGUUUAAAUAAAAAUAUUGAUUUGUGGUAUCAAAGAUUUAUCAAUUAAUUUUUAUC